rnacentral:rRNA from 1 species
UACAGAGGGUGCGAGCGUUAAUCGGAAUUACUGGGCGUAAAGCGCACGUAGGUGGCGACGUAAGUCGGGUGUGAAAGCCCCGGGCUCAACCUGGGAAUUGCAUUCGAGACUGCAUUGCUGGAGUACGGAAGAGGAGGGCGGAAUUCCCGGUGUAGCGGUGAAAUGCGUAGAUAUCGGGAGGAACAUCAGUGGCGAAGGCGGCCCGCUGGUGCAGUACUGACACUCAAGUGAGAAAGCGUGGGGAGCAAUCAGG